AGCUCCGAGUUUGCCACAAGUUGACAAGCAGUUUGAGGAGAGAAGUGGUACUAGGCUCCACUAGUUUCGACGAUCCCCCACAGUACAUCACGAAGCUGAAAUUGCUGUCGGAAAAAGACAUAGCAGGGGCUCCUGCUCAGCCCUUCAAACCACAAUACUGGUGAAUUUGACACGGCUUGCGUCUCAAAAUGUUUUUAGUUGAAGACAAAAAAAAAAAAAAAAAGAAAGAAGAAAAGAAGCUAAUAUUGUUGCAAUUGGAAGAAGAGUGGAUAAGCAAACCAGCAUAUAUAUACACUUGUCCAGAGACAAGACUUGGGAUCAGGUGAGUAGAUACGUCAAGGAGAAGACUUUUUUUUGUUUUGUUAUUGCAUCUCUUUGAACCCCCCAAAGCCUCACCUUUUGCUUAUUUUCUUUAUUUUUUAUUCUUCAUUUCGAUCCCCCUGUUAUGACGACUUAAUGGAAAAGAUUGAAAAGAAGCUAGCUUCUAGUAAUUUGUUUUAAACCUUUUUGGCUA